CUAGCCAAAGAGCUGAACAGGCCACUCCCUUCUGACCACCUCAUUGCCUCAACAGGUGUCCCUUGCUCGUCGGAAGCUCGGAGGUGGAACUCAGGCCUGGAUAGAUCCAAAGACAGACAGACAGACGGACGGACUUGCGUUGGAUGUAUUUCUGACCAUUGAGCACAUCACAUGUUGGGUAAAACUCCGGUUUGGGAGCCCCCGGGUUGCCACUGUCUCGCUGUGUGAUCCCGGGCAGCUUGCUGAGGACGGCCUGGUCCCAAGAAAGUCCUCAGUAAAUGUCAUCCAACAGAAUAAAAAAUGAACUCCGGC
rnacentral:lncRNA from 9 species